AGCAACCUUUUCUAGAACUAAGUGGUUGAUUGCAUAGGCUGUGUGGUUGGGCCUUUCUGUGGAGCGCAGAGUCAACCAGAGUUCCUGAGCUGCCCAGGUCAUCAUGAGACUGAAUUUUAAAGGAGAAACAGUAUUCUUUUUUUUUUUUCCCCAGGGAGGGAGUGGUUCUAGACAGGUGGUUUGUUUGUUUGUUUGUUUUUAUGUAGCCCUGGCUGUCCUGGAGCUUAUACUGUAGACCAGGCUGAUGUUGAACUCAGAGAUCUGCCUGCCUCUGCCUCCUGAAUGCUAGGAUCAAAGGUGUGCACCACCAUGCCCAACCCUGUUUGUUUUUUUUUUGUUUUUUUGUUUUUUUUUUUUUUGGUUCUUUUUUUCGGAGCUUGGGACCGAACCCAGGGCCUUGCACUUCCUAGGCAAGCGCUCUACCACUGAGCUAAAUCCCCAACCCCCCUGUUUGUUUUUUGAGAAAGGGUUUUCCUGUGUAACCCUGGCUGCCCCGGAACUCACUUUGUAAAUCAGGCUGGUCUUGAACUCACAGAUCUUCCUGCCUCUGCCCCUGGAUUGCCGGUUAUCUGGAUUCAAGGUGUGUGCCACCACUUCCCGAGACUUUAAACUCAGAUCCUCCUGCCUCUACCUCCUGAAUGCUAGACUCAGUCCUGGUUCAUGUGGUGCUGGAGAGCUUGUGCAUGCUAGCCUACUGAGCUACAUCCCCAGAUUCAUCUUCCUGAAUUGUUAAGAAUCUCUUUAACUUAUGAGCAGCAGGGAGCUCAUUUUGUAAAAUGUGCCAGGAACGGUGGGGUAUAGCUUUAAACCCAGCACCCAGAAUGCAGAGGCAGAGGGGAUGGCCUGAGUUCAAGGCCAGCCUGCCCUACAUAGAAAGUUCAUAGUGAAACCGUGUCUCAAAACAUACAUUGUAAAAGGUACCCAUGAACCAAACAAACUUACACAAAGUUCCUAGACUUUCCUCUCCCAGCUCUAGCCUCUGCUAGAAAAUGAACUGUCAUGAAGCUGGCCUGAUGGGUAAAGCCCCUCCCACUAGAAGACCUUUACUAGUUUUGUGGCUUUCCUGGCACUGAUGAGUGAUCUGUGAGGUGAUAACCACAAGCAACACUAACUGUCGCACCUAUUGUGUCCUCACAGCCUGGUGGCACUGUUUUAUUUAUCACUAGUCUACAAUACUCACAUCUUGUUUCCUUGCUUCAGUUGAAAGAUAAUUUGGCACUAUCUAGAAUAGUGUUAAACUCUUAAUUCCUUGCUUACAGUUUAGGUGUGCUGUCUGUGUGUUGGUAAAAUGAGCUUUGUUCUCUUGCCUACGCCUUGCCUUUCGGAAGAUUUCCUGGCAGUGUAAGCUCUUUGCUGCAGCUGGUCUAGCUGUCAGUGUGGCUCACAGCUUGAGACAACAGAAUGGAGACUGAUGGGAGGGAGGCUCACACAGGACUAGAAGCUUCACUCAAAUGAGGUGCUUUCUUUAGUGAGAGGGAGACAAAAUCCCUCUCUUUGUAAGGAACAGUAGAGCUUGAAGGAGCUUGUUCAUCAUUCAAGCCAGGAAAACACCUCUGCUUCAUUGAUCAGCUCCAGGCCUCAGCCUGGGAGAAGUGACCGGUAAGAAAAUAGCAUUGCUAUGCAUGCUUGUGGGAACUGUUAGAAAUGACAAAAAGUGCAGAACCCUGCUGGAGCCAGGAUCCAACAGGCCACCGAACUGCAGGCCAUUUCCGUUUUCAUCUUCACUCCUCAGCCUGCCAGAGGCACCUCGGGAAUCCCAGCAGGUCCUUGUUGCAGCUGGCCCUCACGACCACCCUGUUGUCUGUGCAUGCACUGCUCCUCACAGGAGCUGGCACUGAAUCUGUUCACUUAAGGUCUUAGAUUGGUGUCCUAAUACAUUAAUUUUGGGAAAGAGCCAAGUUAGCAUACAUCUUAGCGUUUGGGCCUGCACUGUUGUUACCUCAUGCAGUAGCGAGUAACUGUUCUAUCCUGAGGACAUCUGCAUCACACUCGUUAGAGGUGACAGGAGUGUUCUGGGACCACAGUCAGGAAUGACACGUGUGAAAUUAGUUGGCAGUGAAAAAUGCUGAAAAAUCUGGUCACCUGACCCAGGGCAUCUGAAGUGUGUUUUAACAAAGUGAACAUUAAACGAUUUUACACACAAAAUGCAGCUUUAUGGCUUCUCUUUGCUCAGCCAUUGCCUCCCGUCCUCAGAUACUGAACAUGCUUGGAGCCGUUUUGGACACGUUACUGUGGAAUAGUUUGUGUUUAGAACAGCACUAAUACUGAUGACAUCAAUUCUAGAUUCGUUUAUUUUGUCUCAAGACAAGCUUCUGCCUGCCUCUGCCUCCCCAGUGCUGGAAUUAAAGGCUUACACCAUCACCACCUGGCUAAGAAUUUCCUUUAAAGAUUUAUCCUGGGGCUGGACAGAUGGCUCAGUGGUUAAGAGCACCGACUGUUCUUCCAGAUGGUCCUGAGUUCAAAUCCCAGCAACCACAUGGUGGCUCACAACCACCUGUAAAGAGAUCCGAUGCCCUCUUCUGGUGUGUCUGAAGACAGCUACAGUGUACUUACAUAUAAUAAACAAAUAAAUAUU
rnacentral:lncRNA from 1 species